rnacentral:misc_RNA from 1 species
GAUGAAGAACGCAGCGAAAUGCGAUAAGUAAUGUGAAUUGCAGAAUUCAGUGAAUCAUCGAAUCUUUGAACGCACAUUGCGCCCAUUAGUAUUCUAGUGGGCAUGCCUGUUCGAGCGUCAUUAAGUCCACUUAAGCCCUGCUUAGUGUUGGGAGACUGCUCCAGCGGUGCUACCCUGUAGCUACCCUGCAGCUCCUCAAAGACAGCGGCGGAGUUGUGGUAUCCUCUGAGCUUAGUAACUUGUUCUAGCUUUCGGGUACACCACUUCCCCUGCCGUAAAACCCUUAAUUUUUAAUGGUUGACCUCGGAUCAGGUAGGAAUACCCGCUGAACUUAAGCAUAUCAAUAAGCGGAGGA